AGGACGAACGCUGGCGGCGUGCUUAACACAUGCAAGUCGAGCGGAAAGGCCCUUCGGGGUACUCGAGCGGCGAACGGGUGAGUAACACGUGAGUAACCUGCCCCUAGCUCUGGGAUAGCUCCGGGAAACCGGGAUUAAUACCAGAUACGACCACUUUAGACAUCUGUCGUGGUGGAAAGGAUUCCGGCUAGGGAUGGGCUCGCGGCCUAUCAGCUUGUUGGUGGGGUAACGGCCUACCAAGGCGACGACGGGUAGCCGGCCUGAGAGGGCGACCGGCCACACUGGGACUGAGACACGGCCCAGACUCCUACGGGAGGCAGCAGUGGGAAUAUUGCGCAAUGGGCGAAAGCCUGACGCAGCGACGCCGCGUGGGGGAUGAAGGCCUUCGGGUUGUAAACCCUUUCAGCAGGGACGAAGCGAAAGUGACGGUACCUGCAGAAGAAGCGCCGGCUAACUACGUGCCAGCAGCCGC
rnacentral:rRNA from 1 species